rnacentral:rRNA from 1 species
UACGAAGGGGACUAGCGUUGUUCGGAUUUAUUGGGCGUAAAGCGCACGUAGGCGGUUUGUUAAGUCGGAUGUGAAAUCCCUCGGCUCAACUGAGGAAGUGCAUCCGAAACUGGCAAGCUUGAGUACGAAAGAGGGUCGCGGAAUUCCCGGUGUAGAGGUGAAAUUCGUAGAUAUCGGGAGGAACACCGGUGGCGAAGGCGGCGACCUGGGUCGAUACUGACGCUGAGGUGCGAAAGCGUGGGGAGCAAACAGG